AUACAGCACGCAGUCAUCUGGUGUUUGUCGUACGAGAAAAUUGAAUAGUGGAAGCAGCAGCGCUUACUUCGGAUAAAGCGAGAGAGCAGUCAAGUCGCAAACAUAGAUUAUAAAAGAAAAAUGUGAAGGAAGAAGAGUGUAAUGAUGGUGAAGAAGAAGAAGAACCAAAUAACUGGCCUUCGCUGAAUCAAACAAAGAACAAAAAUAUCGGUGUGAGUCAUGGGCGCGCUGCUGCGAUUCCUACACGACACCAGAAAGCAAAGCCAUUGGUCCACGGGAUUCACACUCGUUUCCUGCUCCUCGCUACGUUCGUUAAAUAUUUGGCAACGAUGAGGAGGAACGGAAUUCUCUACUACUACUACUACUACUACUUGUGCGUCAUCAUCAGCAGAGAAACCCAUCGAUGCUUGUUUUUUGUGCACGCACGCACACGCACACCAUCUCUCCUCAUUUUCUGAGAAAAAUAUACGUGUAUAGAGAGAGGGAAAGAGAAUGAGAGUGAGAUAAAUGAGAAAAAGAAAGAGUUAACACUGAGUGAGUCUUCACGUCUGUCCGUAUCAACGCUUGGCAGUCUACACACACUACCACCCACUACUUCUACUACUACUACUACUACUACCGUUACCGUCUGGAGUCCGGAGCAGCGAGCAGCAGCAGCAAACACCACCGAGUCUCCUUUGUUUUUUGCAUGACGCUCUGGACAAAAUGGCAGGGGACAAGGCGGAAAUUGCGCGCAGCCAGCAGCUCCAGCUCGACGAAUUUGACCAACAAUCAACCAACUUCCUAUCGAUCGAACGCUUCGCAGUUGCUGACCACCACCAAUCAAAUCAAAUCGAUCAACCAAUCCACCCAUCCACACACGACACAAAAAUGAAUAACGGUAUUUGGUAUAUCAGCUGCGAACGAAAAAUAUUGCCUUUUUGAACAGAUUUACAGCAAACAAAAAAAAUCAUCGGAAGAGAUACUAGGAGAGAGAUCGACAGAUCUUUAUCCCCUCCUACUACUACUACAACUACUGCUUCCACUUCAUCACCGCAACAGUGCAACGGCGGCGGAAUAUUGUAUCAACUUUGAUUGGGCUUCUUCAACUUGUCGCAUUCAUCCUCCUACUCUCCACUGUUUGUUCUUCCACUCUCCACUUCUACAAUUAUUCAGCACGUAAGCCGAUUGGGAUUUUGCUCUCGUGAUUAACGCUUGAAUUGCAGCUUAUUUUAUAUCUAUGGCAUCGGACCCUUUUAGUGCGCCAAUUUAGUCCACUUUUUUUGUUUCACUGUUGGAGGAGGCAACCAACCAUCCACCGACAACCAUAUAGAUCUUUUGUAUAUCUUUUAGCGAUAUGAUGCAGUUGAACGGUUCCUGUACAUAUCAUCCUCUGAGUUAACUGAACAAAGAUAUUGAUAGACCCAUAGAGAGUGUGAGAAAAGGACGCUUGUGUCUAAGAAGAAGAUUCUCAAAAUGCGAAAAAGCCCCGGGAAAGGAAAACAGACAUUCAAAAGGAAUAAGUUUGCUCUAUUGAUUUUGACAGCCUAAAUUUUGUGGGCCUCUUUUUUGUUGUAGCGACAUUAUCACAGUUGAACAGUACCUGUGAAUGUCCCUUCUAUGUAUCUCUUUGUCGUCGUCGUCGUCCUAUGGUCUUGUGGGAAAGACGAAAGCCGCCGGAACUCAAGCAAGCCAAUCAUAACGAAAUCUUUGCGAAUGAAUGUGAAUUCUCUGUCGACUCAAACGACUCACGUAAAUAGAAUCUAGGACAUAGCCACAACAUUUUUCGUUUAUUUUUUUUAGCGAUGCGACGCAGUUGAACGGUGCCUGCGUGCAUCUGCAAAAGGGAACCACAUAGAAUUGAUCGUAUCUCAAGCGUUGAAAGACGAUAAUCAAUCGAAGAGUUUAAGGAUGAUGAUGAAAUAUAGCUUUCUUCUUCUAUAAUAUUCAAGCUCUCUUUUUAGAGUGUCUCGAAACCAAGCUCUGCUCCAAACUUCAAAAAACUCGAAUGCUGAAAGAAGAGAAGAACACACGUAACAUUGCUUAUCUUGAUCCUCUCAAUGUUGGAUAUUCUAUUCUUCUUUUAGGUAUAUGUAUCAUCAUAUACACUCACAGACACAGACAUUUGAGCGCGCGCAUACACAAUGCAAUGUGCAGCUGCUGUGCUGCUUUCCGAUCCCCCCAAAACCUAAAGUGGCGGGACUGGCUAUGCAGGAUUCUUGCCUUCAUCAUCGAAGACGUGUGGAGUUCAAAUAAGAAAAAGAGAGCUAAGAUCUUAGACCAUUUGUGCUAUCGAAAAAACCGUUUUCUUUCGUAUUUUUAUAGCAAUAUGUCGCAGUUGAACUGUGCCUGCGCAUAUUGAUGGUGCUUUAUCGAACGAACAGACUUCUCGACACGUGAGAUUGGUGUGAGCAAAGACAGUUGCUUGGAUGCAACCCCUUAUUCCGUCUUCAAUUCGCUUUUGCUGCGUUUUCUCACGUAAAUCAAAUGAAAUUUUUGGAACAAAAACGUUUUUUUUCGUAUUUUUGUAGCGAUAUGAAACGCAGUUGAAUGUGCCUGCGCAUAUCAUUCAAUCCAAUCGUCAAUUAAAAUGAAAGAUAUGAAGGCCCUUUGGGACAUGUCGUGUCGUCGGCGUCCUUAUGUGGUGUAUCAGGCUACAGGAGAGAUUGAUCACAGAAUAUUGCAAAAACCAACGGGAAUGAGUUUUGAAUGAGUUUUUUUCCCCUUCCUCCUUUUGAUGAAGAGACACAGCUUUACUAUUAUUAUGUAUUCAUUACAGAGUUUCCUCGCCUUCGCCUUCCAUAAAUAUCAUCCUGUGUGUGUAUACAUGUAUAGCAAAAUUUCUUGAGGCAAUGGGAAUCAAAUGCCAACUUGAAAGCAAACACAAAAAAAAAACACUCAAUAUCUGCCUACCUAUAUGUCAUAUGGAAGAGAAGAUAUACUACUACUACUACUACAUACACAAAUGUAUUAACCAUAUACAAGUCAUGUUGUAUUCGCUCGAAAUCGCAAGGUCAGCUCAAAAUCUGAACUCAACUUGAAUUGUUUAAACCUGUUUUACAGCUUCCAAAAUCGAAUCUCGAAUCGAAUCAAAUGUGUCACAGAAGAGUGAGAGAAAGAUGAUUCUUGAACCAACAGAGUGAGAAAUUUGGCAGAUUUCUGCUUUAAAACUCAUUUGUGUUCCUUUUUACAGCCGCCCAAAAAAUAAUGUACAAACUAAACACAAGCCACAUACAGACAGACAGUUGAAUAUGUCGGGUCUUGGCCUUCUAUAUGAUUAUCCAACAACUUUUCCCCCUCAAUUUUCUCUCCUCAUUCUUAAUCAUAGGUUCUUUAACUUUAAAACGUACGCCAAAUCGUUAAAGGGAAUCCAAAACGAUACAUCAAGUCCAUCCAAAAACAAAAAAAAAAAGUUAAAUUAACGCUUCGACAACAACAACAACAACAACUUGCAUGGCACAACACAAUCCAGAUCCAUCCAUAUCCAGACACAAGAGACACUGAGAGAGAGAGAGAAAGAGAGAGAGCGAUAGAGAAAGAGAGAGAGAGAGUAAGCGAACGCCAAGCAGAGCUCUGUUGUCUGCGCCUUUGGACGACUCUCACAUUUUAAUGUUAUUUAAUGCUGCUGCGUAAGCAUAACUCGUUUCUAUAUAUGUACAUAUAUAUAUAUAUAUUACAGACCACAUAUAUAUCCAUCUUGAUAUCGCUACUGCGCAAGCAUAUGUGUAUACACGUGCAGUCAGAAGAUACAGCGAGAGGCAUUACGGUGAUGACAGUCUAGGCUACAAAUUAGCCUGACUGAACUCUGUGGACGACACACGCACACACACACACACAAGAUCGAUCCAACCCGAUCCGAUCUAAAAGCCGAUUAUUAUUAACCAAAUUGUCAAGCGCGUGAAGCGCCGUUAAUACCUACCAUCAACCAAACCAACCGUAGAUGAGAGGCGUGUAUCCCUCAUACGUAUAAUGCACAUUGCACCGCACAGAAAUGUGCGCUCGGUCCACGCUAAAGGGAAACAAAUGCGUUUGGACCGAGACCCGCCACACCCACACCACACCAUCACACCAGCUGAUGUGUUGUUGUCGUUGUUAUCGGGCAGCUGCGCCUGCAAGUACGCUACGGGCAUCCAAGCGUCGUCGUCGCUAUCUUUCUUUCUUUCGUUUUUUUUUUCUAGUCCUAUUUUUUCUUCUCUCUUCUAUUGUAACUUGUUGACUUGACUUGCAGGAGAACAAAAUAAUGAAAACAGGAGGCAGCAGCUAAGUAUAACGACUAUGUAGCUAAGUCGUUUAUCGCAAAAGGGAACCAAUUGCGAUUAGUGUUCAAGAAGAAGAUGAUGAUGAUGAUGAUGAUGGUGGUCAAGAAGAAACAUCCAAGACAAGGCACCCAAAACGAGGUCCAGGCAGAGCCAGCCAACGGGUUGUUUUCAAUUAUUCCCCAUUUUCCCCCUUUUUUUCUCAUAGGUAGAACAGUUUUGUGUAACAGAGAGAAUCAGAGGUAAAGAAAACAACACAUACAUCUUAACCAGCUCCUCCCUCCCAGUCCACAUUCCAUCGCAAAGGGAAUCAAAUGCGAUUAGUGUUCGAAGACCGAGCUAGCUAGUCUGUGCGGCUACGCUACGCUCUGCCAGUUGAAAGCGCUUAACUCCUGGCCCAACGUUCAACAUACCGCAAUAAGGGAAUCAAUUGCGAGGUGGUACAGCAGCAGUUGAGCUCCCAGAUUGAGCUCCUGGUUCUUCCACACAACAGAAAGAUAUAAACAGAGCCCACAAAGCACACAGCAGCGAAUCGUAAAGGGAACCCAAUACGAUGUACAGCAAGCAGAAAAACAUUAACAGCCCCCCCACCCACCUCAGACACAGGUCUCAACAGGCCCAGGCAGGCAGACACAGGGCGGCAGCAAGCAGCGCAGGGGCAGAGGCUGAGGCGAAAAUUCAAAAAUUUUAUAUAUUGGUGUAUAAAUAAUUUUUGUUCUUUCCAAUUUACUUCCCCUCAUCGUCACAUCCGGCGUCGUUCAUGGUCGUCGUCGGCGUUGACGUCGUUGUCCUCCAUGUUGUUGUUGUUGAUGUGUUCACGUACGCUUACGCAUUCCAGGUAUCCUUUUGGUCGGUCCAGCCUAGGGCCUUGGUCGAUUGAUUUAGUCAUCGACAGCGUCGCCACAGUUGGUCUCAAAGGGAAUCCAAGAGACACGCGCCCGCGCCUACGCUACCACUACAGCAAGCUGCACAUCUCUCACUUUUUCUUUUUUUUUUUUUGUUUUUUUCUUCAUAUAUAUAAAUUUUUGUAUUCUUGUAGUUAUUUCAAAAUUGUAAACUCUAAUUGCAGCUAGUAGUUAGUAUCCAGAUUAUGAUUGUAAAUCACCCUCCUUCCCCCCUUAAAAUGCAAGAAGAUGAUGAAUGAAUUCAAUGGAUGGAUAGUGAAAACAACUUUCUAGUAGAUGUUAAGAAAUGAUUUCAAAUUGUAAACAAUUUUGUAUACACACUUAGAGAUAUUUUCUUUUGUAAAAAAUUAUGUGACAUGUAAUAAGUUUCGCUGAAAUGACCCAAUGACAAGAAGAAGAAGCAGACGAUGUCACACUACUAUCACCCUCCAUUCCCUUGAACUCUGAGAAGUAUGCGGCGCGCAAGGCAGGCAAGGCACUUCACUUUCGACUCCUCCUCAAGAAGGCUCGUUUAUGUGUGUACCAGGGGAACAGAGAUUAAAUGGGAUUAUAGGAAGGAAGGCAGACAGACAUAAGAGGCAAAGCAUUGUCAGUGAACAGAAGAGAAGAAGAUGAGAGCAGAAGAAGGCGUCGGCUAGAGCGCAUCCUAUAACUUUCUUCAUAACUUUUGGGCUUUCGGCUUAGACGAAUCAUCUAUCUACCUAAUCCUACUACCUUGGAUGUGCUUCCAUUAUGCUGCUGCUGCUGCAAUUAUAUGCUAUUUCCAGCCAGCAUUCACACACUCCACAGUCUUGAGGUGUCCAGUCCACAUCAUAAUUAAACUUGGGCCGUUUCAUCCGAAGUGCACACACAAGUUACUAACAUGCAUCAUUUCCAUCGACACGCACCACUUUCUCCACCACGAUUUUGAGAUAGUUCCGCUGGCUGAUAGAAUUUUCUUCCUCAAUAUGAUAUGAUGGGCCCAAUCCCCCUCCGAGUUAUGGACUACUAUUUAUAGAGAACCUAUAAUAUACUUCACUUCUCUUCGCUUCACACAAACUUCAUCAAUUCACCACCACCACCAUGGUCUGGUGUGGUUCUUCACCUGGUGUUUAGGAGCUGGUCUAUGGCAACUUCGCUUCACUUUAUUUUUGAAUCUUGAUGGGAUUAUGCCGAUUCAGUAUUUUCAUGGGGACAAUCGAUCCCUUCCGCUUCAUAUGGAAAUUAGGGAGUUUCUUUCGAGGAAUUUGCAAGUUGUAUUUCACUUUCCGUACUUAUUGACUGCUGCGUGGGAUAUGUUAUCUGAAUAAACGCAAAACAAAAAAGUUGACGGCAGCGCGGGAUUCCUAGAAUUGACGGCAGCGCGGGAUACCUAGAAUUGACGGCGGCGAGGGAUACCUAGAAUUGACGUCAUCGUGGGAUCGCUAGUGUAUUUUUCAACGUGGGACUGUUUCUGUAGGGCGUCGGUUAGGCGAGGGCGCUAGGGAUAAUGUUUUCUAUUACGAUUUGAGCAAGGGAUAUGCAUCAUAAAUAUAUAUAUAUAUAUAUAUUGACGGCGGCGUGGGAUCAGACAUAUUGACGGCUGCGAGGGACUCGAUCCGAAAUUUGACGGCGGCGAGGGAGAUCCUGGACUAUAAAGACGGCGGCGUGGGAUACUUGGAAUAUUUGGACGGCGGCGUGGGAUUUUGAACCUGGACUGCGACGAGGGUAUUUAACUGGACUGCGGCGUGGGAUUUUAACUGGACUGCGGCGUGGGAGAUUCAGACGGCGGCGUGGGAUUUUAAGUGGACUGCAGCGUGGGAGAUCCUGACUGCGGCGAGGGAGAUCCUGACGGCGGCGUGGGAACUUGUGACGGCGGCGUGGGAGUAUAUCCUCUUCGGUUAUAAUGUAAUUGCUUUGUUUCUGAUCAUCGGUGGUAUUCCUCCAAGAGGGUUUACUUUGGGAUCUAAUCUUCUAUAUAUACAUAUGUGUCUAAUCUAUAUCCUAUAUAUGUGUACACAUAUUCACACAGUUCAAAGCUGAUAUACUCAAUUGAUGCCGGGUUUUUGGUAGGCAUCGCAUCUGUCCCAAUAUUAACAUCAAUCAACUCCGCCAAAUACCCUCUUUUAUGACUAAAACUAGAACCAAUCAGUAUAUAGUAUAUAUAAACCUCAUAAAUACUGGAGCGAUCAUCACACAUUUCUAUCUAUAUAUAUAUAAACAUUUCAAAAAGUUCCUGGAAUACCGGAAAAGUAAAUAAGUAAAACCAAAUCAAUCAUACAUACAUUUGAACCGAUGAUCCGCGAUAAUCGGCUGACCUCAAAAGACUGAUUAUCGCUUAAAUAAAAAUAAAUGUUUUUUGAAAAAAUGAAA